GGUGAAAUGACCACGUCCAGUCAGGAUCCUAUGGAGCACAGCUCAUGGGCCAUGACACGCCCAGGACCUACUUCAGCACCUCAAAGAGAAUGGACCAAAUGUCAACUGGAAGUUUUUAUAUUAAUACAGUUUGAAAAAGAUUGUUUUCCUAGUAUAUUCACAAAAGCUCAGGAGUAGACAUGAACCUGUGCACAAACAUCCAUCACAUAGAGACAUAAGAACUCACACACACAUACAUUCUAUUAUGUAAAUGAAUUUGCAUUUUAAAAGCAGCUGGAAAUGUUAUUUGUUUUAUGGAUUUUUUUUGUUCAAAAGGAACUAUGUUGCAUGUAUUUUUUAAAUAUAUUUACUUAAUUUUAGAGACAUUUGUUCAUGGGACUUAAAUGUUCUGAAAAUGUAUUAAUAAAUAUAAUUUACAACAGCAA